AUGUUGAAUUUUCGGGAUUCAUUAGAAGCUUGUGGUCUCACUGAUCUUGGUUUUUCAGGUCAUCUGUUCACAUAUGAUAACAGGCGGGCCGGCCGAGCAAAUGUCCAAGUGCGUUUGGACAGAGCGGUGGCCUCCAACGAAUGGAGGGACAUGUUUGUACACACCUUCAUGUCUCAUUUGGUCUCGCCGGUGUCGGACCAUUGCCCUCUUCUUCUCAAGUGCUCACUGGAACAAGACCGGAGGCCUCCUAAUGGUCGGAGAUACGAACUGAUGUGGGAAAGAUCGCCGGCGUUGGAGGCCAUCAUUGCUAAUUCCUGGACAAGCAAAGGUACGAAAAGAAACUUGAGUGAUGUUCGGAAGGCUCUAGCUACUGUAAUGGCUGAUCUGCAUACUCGGAGCAAUAAAACGUUUGGUAAUGUUACACGAGAAUUGGAAAAAUCUCGCUCCCGGUUAGAGGAGUUAACCAAUAUGAAUGCAGACCAGAGAGAGAUAAGAAUGGAGAGGGACAAAAUGAACGAAUUACUCUAUAAGGAGGAGAUGAUCUGGCUCCAGAGGUCGAGAAUUGAAUGGCUUAAAGAAGGUGAUCGGAACACUAAAAUGUUCCAUCGUAAAGCUGUUUAG
rnacentral:rRNA from 1 species